CUUGCCUGGAAAAUUCCUGGGACAGAGAAGCCUGGUAGGCUACAGUCCAUGGGGUCGCAAAGAGUCAGACACGACUGAGCAACUUCACUUUCACUACGUACUUACUAGAUAAGUAUUAAAUGAUAGUUUUUGACCACUCAAAAUUUAGCAUAAUUAACAUGCAGUCAAGGUUUAGAAACAUAUUUUCCCCAUUUAAAGCUCUCCUGACUCAAAUGUACUCUUAGUUAUUCAAGUAUUUCUAUGUUCUCCCUCUUAUUCAGCUAUCUGGGGUUUGGUUAAGAUUAAUGCAUUUAUUGGAUAAAGAGGAUGUGGUGCACGUACACAAUGGAAUACGACUUGGCCAUAAAAAAGAAAAAACAGUGUCAUUUGCAGCAACAUGGAUGCACUAGAGAUUAUCAAGCUAAGUGAAGAUUAUUCAUCCUUCCAAUAUUAACAGCAAUUAGACUCACCUCAUGCUGCAUCAUGCCAACUCAAUCUCAGGCUGUCAGAGUGGGAUGAUCUUAGUCUUGUCUCAGUAACAAACUUUGACAACCAAAA